CCUACGGGCGGCUGCAGUGGGGAAUAUUGGACAAUGGGGGCAACCCUGAUCCAGCCAUGCCGCGUGUGUGAAGAAGGCCCUCGGGUUGUAAAGCACUUUCAGUGAGGAAGAACGCCUGGUGGUUAAUACCCAUCAGGAAAGACAUCACACACAGAAGAAGCACCGGCUAACUCCGUGCCAGCAGCCGCGGUAAUACGGAGGGUGCGAGCGUUAAUCGGAAUUACUGGGCGUAAAGCGCGCGUAGGUGGCUUGAUAAGCCGGUUGUGAAAGCCCCGGGCUCAACCUGGGAACGGCAUCCGGAACUGUCAAGCUAGAGUGCAGGAGAGGAAGGUAGAAUUCCCGGUGUAGCGGUGAAAUGCGUAGAGAUCGGGAGGAAUACCAGUGGCGAAGGCGGCCUUCUGGACUGACACUGACACUGAGGUGCGAAAGCGUGGGUAGCAAACAGGAUUAGAUACCCUGGUAGUC
rnacentral:rRNA from 1 species